GACCGAUAGUGAACCAGUACCGUGAGGGAAAGGCGAAAAGAACCCCGGCGAGGGGAGUGAAAAAGAACCUGAAACCGUGUACGUACAAGCAGUGGGAGCACCCUUCGGGGUGUGACUGCGUACCUUUUGUAUAAUGGGUCAGCGACUUAUAUUCUGUAGCAAGGUUAACCGUAUAGGGGAGCCGGAGGGAAACCGAGUCUUAAUUGGGCGUUAAGUUGCAGGGUAUAGACCCGAAACCCGGUGAUCUAGCCAUGGGCAGGUUGAAGGUUGG
rnacentral:rRNA from 1 species